GCCCCCAUCGUCUAGCGGUCCAGGACGUCGCCCUUUCAAGGCGGUAGCACGGGUUCGAACCCCGUUGGGGGCA
rnacentral:tRNA from 1 species